UACGGAGGGGGCUAGCGUUGUUCGGAAUUACUGGGCGUAAAGCGCGCGUAGGCGGACCUGCAAGUCGGGGGUGAAAGCCCGAGGCUCAACCUCGGAACUGCCUUCGAUACUGCGGGUCUCGAGUCCGGGAGAGGUGAGUGGAAUUCCUAGUGUAGAGGUGAAAUUCGUAGAUAUUAGGAAGAACACCAGUGGCGAAGGCGGCUCACUGGCCCGGUACUGACGCUAAAGCGCGAAAGCGUGGGGAGCAAACAGG
rnacentral:rRNA from 1 species